rnacentral:rRNA from 1 species
GUGAGGAAUAUUGGUCAAUGGGCGACAGCCUGAACCAGCCAUCCCGCGUGAAGGAAGAAAGCGCUAUGCGUUGUAAACUUCUUUUCCAGAGGGAUAAAAUGAUGUACGCGUACAUUACUGAAGGUACUCUGGGAAUAAGCAUCGGCUAACUCCGUGCCAGCAGCCGCGGUAAUACGGAGGAUGCGAGCGUUAUCCGGAUUUAUUGGGUUUAAAGGGUGCGUAGGCGGGACAAUAAGUCAGUGGUGAAAACCUGCAGCUUAACUGUAGACUUGCCGUUGAUACUGUUGUUCUUGAGUAUGGUCAAGGCAGGCGGAAUGUGUAAUGUAGCGGUGAAAUGCUUAGAUAUUACACAGAACACCGAUAGCGAAGGCAGCUUGCUGGGCCGUUACUGACGCUGAUGCACGAAAGCGUGGGGAUCGAACAGGAUUAGAAACCCCAGUAGUCC